AAGUUCCUACGGGAGGCAGCAGUGGGGGAUAUUGGACAAUGGGGGGAACCCUGAUCCAGCGACGCCGCGUGAGUGAAGAAGUAUUUCGGUAUGUAAAGCUCUAUCAGCAGGGAAGAGAAUGACGGUACCUGACUAAGAAGCCCCGGCUAACUACGUGCCAGCAGCCGCGGUAAUACGUAGGGGGCGAGCGUUAUCCGGAUUUGCUGGGUGUAAAGGGAGCGUAGACGGUUCUGCAAGUCUGAAGUGAAAGCCCGUGGCUUAACCGCGGCACGGCUUUGGAAACUGUGGAACGGGAGUGCUGGAGG
rnacentral:rRNA from 1 species